AUGAAUGUCUUGGCCUGGACCUGUUGAGGACUGGGGUUGGACUCGACAGUUGGCGAAUUGAGAGACCUGGUACGGUCCUACAACCCAGCGGUGGUGUUCUUGUCAGAGACAAAGAAGAGUGCAAAAGCGAUGGAGAGACUCAAAUGGAGCCUUGGGUUCUCGCACGGGGUGGCGGUGAGUUGUGCAGGAAAGAGUGGAGGAUUGACGCUGUGGUGGAGAGAUCAUGUGAAGGUAAUGGUCAGACCUUGGUGUCAAUACUAUACUAGAUCACUGAUGGCGCGCGUUGCCGCGCCCGUCUAUUUUGAUAAUCAAAUUAUAGGAAUAAACACAUAUAUUUGUAUAUGUACAUAUUUUUUGAAAGUAACAACAUCUUAUUAA
rnacentral:rRNA from 1 species